rnacentral:rRNA from 1 species
GACGAACGCUGGCGGCGUGCUUAACACAUGCAAGUCGAACGGAAAGGCCCUGCUUUUGUGGGGUGCUCGAGUGGCGAACGGGUGAGUAACACGUGAGUAACCUGCCCUUGACUUUGGGAUAACUUCAGGAAACUGGGGCUAAUACCGGAUAGGAGCUCCUGCUGCAUGGUGGUGGUUGGAAAGUUUCGGCGGUUGGGGAUGGACUCGCGGCUUAUCAGCUUGUUGGUGGGGUAGUGGCUUACCAAGGCUUUGACGGGUAGCCGGCCUGAGAGGGUGACCGGCCACAUUGGGACUGAGAUACGGCCCAGACUCCUACGGGAGGCAGCAGUGGGGAAUAUAGCACAAUGGGCGGAAGCCUGAUGCAGCAACGCCGCGUGCGGGAUGACGGCCUUCGGGGUAGAAACCGCUGUAGCCUGUGACGAAGCGUGAGUGACGGUAAUGGGUAAAGAAGCACCGGCUAACUACGUG